AACCGGUCAGUGGCAGACGGGUGCGUAACACGUAGGUGACCUGCCCUCGAGUGGGGAAUAACUCGACUAACGUCGAGCUAAUACCGCAUAUGCUCACCGCUUCGGUGUGGUGAGUAAAGCAGUAAUGCGCUUGGGGAUGGGCCUGCGGCGGAUUAGGUAGUUGGUGGGGUAACGGCCUACCAAGCCGAUGAUCCGUAGGGGGCGUGAGAGCGUGGCCCCCCACAUUGGCACUGAGACACGGGCCAAACUCCUACGGGAGGCAGCAGUGAGGAAUAUUGCACAAUGGGCGAAAGCCUGAUGCAGCAACGCCGCGUGAGGGACGAAGGCCUUCGGGUUGUAAACCUCUUUUCUGAGGGACGAGGAAGGACGGUACCUCAGGAAUAAGUCUCGGCUAACUACGUGCCAGCAGCCGCGGUAAAACGUAGGAGGCGAGCGUUAUCCGGAUUUACUGGGCGUAAAGCGCACGCAGGUGGCGAUGUAAGUCGGACAUGAAAGCUCCUGGCUUAACUGGGAGAGGUGGUUCGAAACUGCAUGGCUUGAGGUUGGGAGAGGGACGUGGAAUUCCCGGUGUAGUGGUGGAAUGCGUAGAUAUCGGGAGGAACACCAGUGGCGCAAGCGGCGUCCUGGCCCACACCUGACGCUGAGGUGCGAAAGCGUGGGUAGCAAACAGGAUUAGAUACCCUGGUAGUCCACGCUGUAAACGAUGUCAACUAGGUGUCGGCAGUUUUACACUGGCGGUGCCGAAGCCAACGCGUUAAGUUGACCGCCUG
rnacentral:rRNA from 1 species